GUUGCGUUGCCUCACAUAACAUAAUGAAUUAGUGGAUAAAAACGUCAGAAAUGCUGGCGUUAACUUCCCUAUGUGAUGCGACGCGUCACAUGGCUUUAAAAACUCGCUGGAUCUCCAUUGUAACUCUGUCCGUCUGCUUUUCUGUGCAUAUGCUCUUUCAAAUAAAUGCAGACAUAAGACACUCCCCUCAACAUAUCAAAACAUUGCCAUAGGAUAGGAUAGGAUAGGAUUUUAUUUGUUGUCAUUGCACAUACACACAGGUACACACAGGUGCAACGCCAAACCACUCCCCAGGGAAACAUAAGGCAUGCCAUAGGGAACAACGAAACCAACUUACUUAGGAACCAAUAUUUGGUGGAGUUCACAUAAAAAAAGGUAUGAACAAUGAUAAAAAAUAAAACAAAAUCAAAUUAAAUUUAGCUCGGCUACACACACACACACACACACACACACACACACACACACACACACACACACACACACACACACACACACACACACACACACACACACACACACCAAAAUACUAAAUUACAACAAAAACAA